GCCGAUGAUGAAUGUAUUGAAAUUGACUGAAAUGCAGGUUUAUGGUAAACUUGCAUAUUUGUCGAAAUUCAUGAACUAGGACGGUCUGAGGC